CCUAUCAUCUCACGCCCAUUUUUCUCUGAUCUGAGAAAUUCAUCUUCCAUUUUCAGUCCCUCUUCUCUCUCACUCCAGUUACCCUUCUAAAAAAUCAAGUGACGAUAUCACAAGUGACGAAUCCGGAGAAGACAAAGAUGGAGUAGAUUACGUUUUUAUUGUGUACCUCAGCCUUUAAGGAACUGAUUUGCGAUUCUUGCUCAAUUCCUAUCCCAUUGAUUAAUUUCGUCAGCUUUUGUCGUUACAUGCUCAAUUCACCAUGUGUUUCCGGCAACAGAGUUGUUCUUCUCGACACAUGCUAUUUUUUUAAGGGUUGUCUUUGAAGCUCGCACUCCUGCUACUAAAAAAAACAAAGAAUGGCAAGAGCAACUUCCCACUGUUGUUCUCAAAGCUGAAGAAAUCAUGCAUUCCAAAGAAAUCAUGUUAUCCCUUUGAGAACCCCAUUCAAGAAUCAAAUAUGUCCAACAAAAUGAAUGAUGCACGAGUUACAGGAGCGAAGUUUGCUGCUGAAGUUAUCAAUUUCCUUUAACUAAUAAAUCAUUGAUGGUUAAAGCUGGUUUCAAGGUAAGGAAAUCAUGCAACCAUGAAUAAAAAAUUAUUCUAACUUACCGUGACAGCGGAAAUCAUGGGUAUAUGAAGGCAGGAGUGAUUGUUUUCCAUCUAGCCGGAGCGAGCAGACGUCGCAGACAGCUGCUGCUCUCAAAUUAAAUCAUUUUGACAUACAUCAUGAUGAUGCAGAAUCAUAAAAGUUUGAUUUUUGUUUCACUUAAGAGUUCACUUCUCUCAAGAAAAGAAUGUGCAUUACCAACUGCUGACAUGCAUAGAGGAGGUAAAUCCUUCAAUGAGAGGGACUGAAUGUGCAGGAUCAGAAAACCUUUGCAAUGAUGUUUUGGUGCAUAUGACGUCGUUAAAAUGAAAAAGUCUGGCACAAUCAAACGAAGAAGCAACAAUUUCAGUUCAUGACACGCAUGACGUGCAAUCUGAUUGGCAGCAGCUGCACGCUAAGCACAGUGCAGCAGCUGCAAACAGUAGCACUGACAAUUUUAGCAGCACUAUUGGAGUUCCAUGGUAGACUAAGCCAGCAAAUAGAGAGAUAAAAUGCAAUGUCGACAGAACAUCUCUUUCACAGUUACCGUAUUUAUCAUAUAACCAUAUAAUCUUCAUAACCCAAGGAGUGGUGAUCACCGCUAUUCAGGAACAAGUUUUUAUUGUGUUAUUCUUCAAUGUUAAAUCACCGCUAUUUAGGACAAAUAUUGAGUUGUCUAAAAUGUGUUAUUUGUGACUGCACUACACUUCAAAUGUUGUUUACAAAGAAAUUUUCCGCAAUGUACUAACAUGAACUCAAUUUAAUUGUAUUUUAU
rnacentral:lncRNA from 1 species